AGAGUUUGAUCCUGGCUCUGAGUUUGAUUCCCCGCUCAGGAUGAACGCUGGCGGCGUGCUUAACACAUGCAAGUCGAACGGUGAAGCCAAGCUUGCUUGGUGGAUCAGUGGCGAACGGGUGAGUAACNCGUGAGCAACCUGCCCUGGACUCUGGGAUAAGCGCUGGAAACGGCGUCUAAUACUGGAUAUGAGACGUGAUCGCAUGGUCGUGUUUGGAAAGAUUUUUCGGUNUGGGAUGGGCUCGCGGCCUAUCAGCUUGUUGGUGAGGUAAUGGCUCACCAAGGCGUCGGCGGGUACACCGGCCUGAGAGGGUGACCGGCCACNCUGGGACUGAGAGCACGGCCACCAGAUCUGCCUACGGGAGGCANCAGUGGGGAAUAUUGACACAAUGGGCGGAAGCCUGAUGCAGCAACUGCCGCGUGAGGGAUAGACGGCCUUCGGGU
rnacentral:rRNA from 1 species